rnacentral:lncRNA from 1 species
CUGUGUGGAGAGGCCACAUGAUGGGUUGAGCCUCUGGAAUAACACUGAGAGGCCCAGCCAUCCCAGGGUCCCAGCUGAGCCCACCCUGCCAGAGGCCAGGCUUGAGAGAGGAGCCACUGCCAUUUUGGCCCCCGCUGCACCACACUACAGCCACUUGAGGGAGCCCCAAGCAAGAGCAGCAGAUGAACCCUCCAGCUAAGCCUCAGGCAGCUCAGAGUCUGGAGAAAUAGUGUGGUGGCGGUUGUUUUAAGCCACCCUGAAUUGCACUGGUUGGCUCUACAGCAAUAGGUGAUGAAAAGAGAUGGCUUCUGUGGAAAGGUGGCAUCGAAGCUGCUCCCAAACUCUCAGUUGGCUGCCACAGUGACAUCAAAUGCCCUACAGCCCAACUAGGAGACAUCUGGUUCUGUUUCUGGUCCGUCCUGCAUGACUCCACCCCAAAGCAUCUCUGGACAGCUCUGCCCCUCUCAGCCUUUUUCAGUCAGCUCCCUACUAGUGGACUAAACAGAAGGUGACACUGCCAUGCCUGGGCCUGCCUCCCCUGCCCCUCCCCAGACCCCUAGGGCAUCAACCCAUGUGCUUCUCUCCCCUCUACCGCCCCCGGGCUGCAGCAUGAGUCCUAAUAAAGCCUCUUU